AGACCCGAAACCCGGUGAUCUAGCCAUGGGCAGGUUGAAGGUUGGGUAACACUAACUGGAGGACCGAACCGACUAAUGUUGAAAAAUUAGCGGAUGACCUGUGGCUGGGGGUGAAAGGCCAAUCAAACCGGGAGAUAGCUGGUUCUCCCCGAAAGCUAUUUAGGUAGCGCCUCGUGAAUUCAUCUCCGGGGGUAGAGCACUGUUUCGGCUAGGGGGCCAUCCCGGCUUACCAACCCGAUGCAAACUGCGAAUACCGGAGAAUGUUAUCACGGGAGACACACGGCGGGUGCUAACGUCCGUCGUGAAGAGGGAAACAACCCAGACCGCCAGCUAAGGUCCCAAAGUCAUGGUUAAGUGGGAAACGAUGUGGGAAGGCCCAGACAGCCAGGAUGUUGGCUUAGAAGCAGCCAUCAUUUAAAGAAAGCGUAAUAGCUCACUGGUCGAGUCGGCCUGCGCGGAAGAUGUAACGGGGCUAAACCAUGCACCGAAGCUGCGGCAGCGAACGUAUCACUUAAAGCGAUUCAGCGGGUUACGAUUGACGGAGCGAAGCGACGUCAAAGCGUAUACAAAGUCGAGUCGGUUUAAGGAUACGUUCGUUGGGUAGGGGAGCGUUCUGUAA
rnacentral:rRNA from 3 species